AUAUCUGGAACCAUUAAGGUUGCUGAUAAUGCAAGGGAAACAAGACAGAGAAGAUCCAUGCUCUAAUGAAGAUUGCAAUUUACUGGAAGAGAAACAUAUACUAAAAUAAUCAAACAACUGAUGAAGAUAAUUUUAGGUAUAUGAUGAUGGUAAAUCUCUCUUCUCUACCACUUCUAACCAAGUCAAUACCACCAGGGUAUGGAGUUGCAGGAAUGAAUGGGUUUCCAGAAUCCAGGAUCUCAGGCUGGAGCUGAGCAGCAUUGGGUCCCCCAGAAGUUCCCACCUGUGGCUUGGGAGUCUAUCCAUACGAGACCCAGACAUGAGGACCCAUCCCAGAAAGCCUGAAUGUCCAGACAUGAGGCAUGUGCAUGCACAUUUGUCAUGCAUCUAGGCCCUACAGGACUGUGUGGAUAAGAGCCACCCCCACCCACCAGUCUAUCUUUCUGUCACCAGCAAUUAACCCACACUGCACUUCUGAUGCAGUGCCUGGAAGGGUUCUUAUAGGCAGCAUUAAGCAGAAUUUAGAAGGUUUUGCAUUUUGUAGUAUAUAUCAAAUAUGGCAAAUCUCAGAAUAAAACAUCUUAAAAUAUGCCAUAAUGAGGAUGCAACAUUGCCUGUGUUGUUUGUUGUUGUUGUUGUUGUUGUUGUUGUUUUUAAAUGUCCUCACUGAAAUGAUGUUAUCAGUAUGCGAUGAAUUUACGUUUCAUAAUAUUAUACGAUGCUUUCACCCAGGAAGGUUUCACACUUGCCAGGUAUGGUGCCUUGAAUGGUAGCCCCCAAGAUAGGUCCAUGCCAAAUCCCUGGAAUAUAUAAAUGUUCCCUUAUUUGGAAAAAAGAUUAUUCACAGAUGGAAAUAAAUUAAGAAUGCUGAGAUGAUGAGAUCAUUGUGGCUUAUGCAAGUCAGUCCUGAAUCCAAUGGCAGCUGUCCUUCUGGAAGACACACAAAGGAGAGACACACAGAAGAGGAAGUGGCAAUGGAAAUAUUUGAUUGAUAUGGCCACAAGCCAAGGAAGCAAAGGGAUGCCAACAGCUGCCAGAAGCCAGAAGAGGCAAGGAAGGAUUCUAGCCUACA